rnacentral:rRNA from 1 species
CGUGGGUAACCUGCCCAAGAGAUCGGGAUAACACCUGGAAACAGAUGCUAAUACCGGAUAACAACAGAUGAUGCCUAUCAACUGUUUAAAAGAUGGUUCUGCUAUCACUCUUGGACGGACCUGCGGUGCAUUAGCUAGUUGGUAGGGUAACGGCCUACCAAGGCGAUGAUGCAUAGCCGAGUUGAGAGACUGAUCGGCCACAUUGGGACUGAGACACGGCCCAAACUCCUACGGGAGGCAGCAGAG